rnacentral:rRNA from 1 species
AUAAUAAAGCAUCCAACUAUUAUAUAAUGGCGGUCCUAGUAAAUUAAAGAAACUCGCUUUAUAAUCGUAAAUACCCGAUAAUUUUUACUAUUAAAUCACAGCUUAUAUACCUCCGUAUAGGGAUGAACAAUAAAUCAACUCAUAAUUAAAAUAAAUUUAAAUCAGGUCAAGGUGUAGCUAAUAAUAAUGAAAAAGUAAGUUACUAUUAAACAAAAAUUAAGGAAAUAAUACUAUAGUAAACUAGAAAAAGAAUUUAAUCGUACAAUCUAAUUAAAAAUUAGAAUAGAUACUAAAACAAAGACGC